GACGAACGCUGGCGGCGUGCUUAACACAUGCAAGUCGAACGGAUAUUUCCUGCUGUUUUGUUGUACUCGAGUGGCAAACGGGUUAGUAACAGGUGAGUAACCUGCCCUUUACUUUGGGAUAACUUGAGGAAACUGGGGCUAAUACCGGAUAUGAUCUCCUGCUACAUUUUGUGGGGUGGAGAGUUUCGGCGGUUGGGGAUGGAGUCGCGGCUUAUCAGCUUGUUGGGGGGGUAGUGGCUUACUAAGGCUUUGAAGGGUAGCCGGCCUGAGAGGUUGACCGGCCACAUGGGGACUACGAGACGGCCCAGAAUGCUACGGGAGGCAGCAGUGGGGAAUAUUGCACAAUGGGGGGAAGCCUGAGGAAGAAGCGCCGCGUGCGGGAUAACGGCUUUUGGGAUGUAAACAGCUUCCGCAGGUGACGAAGGGUGAGUGACGGUAAUGAGUAAAGAAGCACCGGCUAACUACGU
rnacentral:rRNA from 1 species